UUCUGUAGGCGGUUUUGUAAGUUGUGGGUUAAAUGCUUCGGCUCAACCGAAGACCUGCUCGCAAUACUGCGAAACUAGAGAUAGAUAGGGGAGGGCGGAACGCAUGGUGUAGUGGUGGAAUACGUUGAUAUCAUGCGGAACACCGAAGGCGUAGGCAGCCCUCUGGGUCUUAUCUGACGCUGAGAGACGAAAGCGUGGGGAGUAAAAC
rnacentral:rRNA from 1 species